ACUCCUACGGGAGGCAGCAGUGGGGAAUAUUGCACAAUGGGCGAAAGCCUGAUGCAGCGACGCCGCGUGGGGGAUGACGGUCUUCGGAUUGUAAACCCCUUUCAGUAGGGACGAAGCGCAAGUGACGGUACCUGCAGAAG
rnacentral:rRNA from 1 species